rnacentral:misc_RNA from 1 species
AUUUAUAUGAUAAUUCAGCUUUGUUUAUAUUUAAAUGAAUAUUUUGAAUUCCCGACUUAAAGCAUUUAUGCCGGGAACGAACAUGGUAUUUGCAGUGAAGUGGUACUUUGCCUUCUUUUUUGCUGCUUCAAUUUUUGUAAUGUCGUGUAGUGGCCAUGGCAGACUGGUCGAACCACCCAGUAGAGCAUCAGCUUGGCGUUUUGGAUUUCAGACACCACCAGACUAUAAUGACCAUGAACUAUACUGCGGAGGGCUUAGCCGGCAAUGGCAAAGAAACGGCGGUAAAUGUGGAGAAUGUGGAGACGCGUGGGAUGUUCCGGAACCACGACCCCACGAAUAUGGUGGCCACUGGGGAAAAGGCUUAAUUGUGCGGAGCUAUUUGCCUGGAUCUCAAAUGACGAUUCGUGUAGAAUUGACAGCUAGUCAUAUGGGAUAUUUUGAGUUUCGAAUAUGCCCAAAUCCAAAUGCUAAGCAGUCAUGCUUGGAUAAAAAUGUAUUGUCAAUUCUUAAUGGAUCUCCUUCUCAGCCAAAUAAAUCAGAUCUAGAUAACCGAUUUUAUCCUCGGAACGGAAGUUGCAUAUAUGAAAUUUUGGCACAGUUACCAGAUUUUACAUGUGAACACUGUGUUCUGCAAUGGCGUUAUGUUGCAGGCAAUAAUUGGGGUAUGUGUAGCAAUGGUAUAGGAGCUAUUGGAUGUGGUCCACAAGAAGAAUUUCGUUCGUGCUCUGAUAUUGCCUUAACUACAGAAUAUUUGCACCCAUAUCUAGGUCCUAUUAGCGCACCACCUACAAAAUCUAAUGGAAUGCCUGCGAACACGACACAUAAUUCUGUUAAUACACAAAGUGACAAAUUAAAGUAUAUUUUCAUCAUUUUACUGCUGUCAAUACUAAUAUUAGUUUGCCUUGUUGUUAUACGUUUGAAAUUCCACAAUCACAACAGCUUUUGUAUUCAACAAUUUGUUAAUAAUCUUAAAAAAUAUUUAUUUUGGAAUUCAUUUCAAAACAAUAAUUUUAUAUGUGAUGUAUUUACCCUUGGCAAUGAUAAAUUAGGUAGCCGACCCAGUCCACUUCCACGAAAUAAGAGAUUAAAUAAUGAAGUAAAAAAUGUAGUAAUAGAAACAAGCACAGUAUAAAUACCUGUAAGUUGUAAUUAUUUUUGCACGUUUUUAAACACAUUAAUAAAAUAGUUUACAAUUAGUUUAUGUUAAGAAUGGUUAUAUAUAUCAUGUGAUUAAGUAAAUAUUUAUUACAAAUUGUUAUUUUAUAUUAAGCUGUGCACUAUAAAAAACCAAAUUCAACGUGUCCUCAUAAGUUUUGUAUUUUACGCACUCAAAGGAUCGAUCUACGGUUUUAUACGACGGAAUCAAUGGGGCCGAAUGAACCCUUUCUUGGGGUGAAGUCAAGUGGGUAGAAGAGUACCACCACAUACUUUCCCAAAUACUGGGACAGCGACAGCUUCACAAUAUCCUUAUUAACUACGGUGGGGACUGCCCUGGUGUACUGCAGCUGAUGGUCGGCUUGGCAGCUCCAACAAGUGCCGCGGACAGCAGUAGGAUAGAUAAGUACUUGGCCAUGACUGGGACGAAAUUUGAACAGUAACGGACGACACAUCGUGCGGCCCACCAUAGCAUCCUUGGUCUUAUUGGAUUUGGGUUGUCGGCGAAGAUCCGAAUGCACAAGCUUUCUGAGUUUACCACUGCUAGUUGCUUUACUUUGUCUUACAAAUAAAUGACCUGCCUUCAGGGUCAGCAAAUCUGUCGAAUUCUCAGUAAUAAGCAGAUCGCUCUGGAGUUGAUGCACGUAAGCACAUAGAACACAUAAAACAUAACAUUCUACGCCUGCUUUCCAAAGGCCUAUAUGGCCCAAAUAGUGAAGGCGCUACACUCUC